rnacentral:tRNA from 3 species
UGGUAGCUCAGUCUGGUAGAGCACCCUCGCAAGAGGACUGUCGCAGGUUCGAUUCCUGUCCACU